rnacentral:rRNA from 1 species
GGUAGCGGGUAUGAGAGGAGAUCAGCCACACUGGGACUGAGACACGGUCGAGACUCCUACAGGAGGAAGCAGUGCGGAAUCUUACACGAUGCAGGCUAGCGCUGAUGCAAGACACAUGUCCGACGUGGGUGUGCAUAGAAUAGGCGUCGCCUUGCAUGGGGCGCUUGUGCUGAUGAGAGACGUCUGAUCAACUGUUUUCAAGGUGCGCUGGUCAGUAGUGGCUAGGAGGGGCAAUACUAGUUAGGUGUAUCUGUCGCUAGCUGUCUAUUUCAGAAGUUUCCGGGCAGUGCCGAUGCGAGGCAUGUCCGUAAUUUGAACCCGGGUUUAGCCCUGAUGCCUAUGGUAUAAGGGUAAACGUCAAUUCCC